rnacentral:rRNA from 1 species
CCUACGGGUGGCAGCAGUGAGGAAUAUUGGUCAAUGGACGAGAGUCUGAACCAGCCAAGUAGCGUGAAGGAUGACUGCCCUAUGGGUUGUAAACUUCUUUUAUAUGGGAAUAAAAUGUUCCACGUGUGGGAUUUUGUAUGUACCAUAUGAAUAAGGAUCGGCUAACUCCGUGCCAACAGACGCGGUAAUACGGAGGAUCCGAGCGUUAUCCGGGUUUAUUGGGUUUAAAGGGAGCGUAGGUGGAUUGUUAAGUCAGUUGUGAAAGUUUGCGGCUCAACCGUAAAAUUGCAGUUGAAACUGGCAGUCUUGAGUACAGUAGAGGUGGGCGGAAUUCGUGGUGUAGCGGUGAAAUGCUUAGAUAGCACGAAGAACUCCGAUUGCGAAGGCAGUUCACUGGACUGCAACUGACACUGAGGCUCGAAAGUGUGGGUAUCAAACAGGAUUAGAUACCCCAGUAGUC